ACUUGGAGGCACUGCUCAUUUCACUAGAUGAUACACCCCUGAGGAAGUCUAUCUGACGAAACGUGUUGGGUAUUCUAUUAUGCUUUGAUAUAACCUCCAACCUGUAUCAUUGGAAGGAGGAUCUCAUGAAAGAAGCAAUCUGUUCAUCUGUGAGAAAUCAAACAUCCAUGUUAUGUGAGGAGGUUGUCACCUGUUAAUGCAUCUAAGGAUAUAAGGACAUAAUUGAUAUUUUAGCAAUGUUUUAAUAAAAAAUCUGUAUAUUGGAA